rnacentral:rRNA from 1 species
AGAGUUUGAUCAUGGCUCAGAGUGAACGCUGGCGGUAGGCCUAACACAUGCAAGUCGAACGGCAGCACAGAGGAGCUUGCUCCUUGGGUGGCGAGUGGCGGACGGGUGAGGAAUACAUCGGAAUCUACUCUGUCGUGGGGGAUAACGUAGGGAAACUUACGCUAAUACCGCAUACGACCUACGGGUGAAAGCAGGGGAUCUUCGGACCUUGCGCGAUUGAAUGAGCCGAUGUCGGAUUAGCUAGUUGGCGGGGUAAAGGCCCACCAAGGCGACGAUCCGUAGCUGGUCUGAGAGGAUGAUCAGCCACACUGGAACUGAGACACGGUCCAGACUCCUACGGGAGGCAGCAGUGGGGAAUAUUGGACAAUGGGCGCAAGCCUGAUCCAGCCAUACCGCGUGGGUGAAGAAGGCCUUCGGGUUGUAAAGCCCUUUUGUUGGGAAAGAAAUCCAGCCGGCUAAUACCUGGUUGGGAUGACGGUACCCAAAGAAUAAGCACCGGCUAACUUCGUGCCAGCAGCCGCGGUAAUACGUAGGGUGCGAGCGUUGUCCGGAAUUACUGGGCGUAAAGAGCUCGUAGGUGGUUUGUCACGUUGUCUGUGAAAACUCACAGCUUAACUGUGGGCGUGCGGGCGAUACGGGCAGACUGGAGUACUGUAGGGGAGACUGGAAUUCCUGGUGUAGCGGCGGAAUGCGCAGAUAUCAGGAGGAACACCGGUGGCGAAGGCGGGUCUCUGGGCAGUAACUGACGCUGAGGAGCGAAAGCGUGGGGAGCGAACAGGAUUAGAUACCCUGGUAGUCCAA